rnacentral:rRNA from 1 species
UACGGAGGGGGCAAGCGUUGUUCGGAAUUACUGGGCGUAAAGCGCGCGUAGGCGGCUGGGUAAGUCGGAUGUGAAAGCCCUCGGCUCAACCGAGGAACUGCGUCCGAUACUGCUCGGCUUGAGUCCGGUAGGGGGUAGCGGAAGUCCCGGUGUAGCGGUGGAAUGCGUAGAUAUCGGGAGGAAUACCGAUGGCGAAGGCGGCUACCUGGGCCGGAACUGACGCUGAGGCGCGAAAGCUAGGGGAGCAAACAGG